UACAGAGGUCCCAAGCGUUACUGAGAAUCACUGGGUUUAAAGGGUGCGUAGGUGGCCCGUUAAGUCAGUUGUGAAAUCCCCGGGCUCAACCCGGGAAAUGCUUCUGAUACUGGCGGACUUGAGGCCAGUAGGGGUCACUAGAACUGACGGUGGAGCGGUGAAAUGCGUAGAUAUCGUCAGGAAUGCCGGUGGUGAAGACGGGUGACUGGGCUGGUUCUGACACUGAGGCACGAAAGCGUGGAGAGCGAACGGG
rnacentral:rRNA from 1 species